rnacentral:rRNA from 1 species
AUGCCUCGCGCUCGUGCCGCGGCCGUCCUGGCGCUCGCGCUUCUGCCGACGCUGGCCGCCGCCGGCAUCGAUUUCCGCCGCGAGGCCCCGCCGCCCGGUCACACGUGCGGCGCGCAGGGCACGUACGCUCCCGGCAGCGCCUACGAGGCCAACCUGCGGCGUCUCGGCGCCACCCUUCCCUCCCAGGCAAACGCGUCCUCCUGCAAGUGCUCUCCCGGCAACAACGCCGGCGAGCGUCCCGAUAGGGUCAUCGCGUCGGCCUACUGCUACUGGCUCCCCGACGGGAGCUCGCCGGACUGCGGGGCCUGCAUCACGCGGGCUUUCCGGGAGGCGGAACGGCUGUGCCCGUAUCACCGGCAGGCCAUGGUGGUGGUCGACGGCGGCGCGUGCAGCGUCUGCUUUCACGACGAACAGCGCAUGGAGGAGGGCAUGGGCGUCGGCCUCACCGGGCAAUUUGCACUGGAGCCAAAUGCAUCAUAUCUUGAGUUUCUAUGUCUGAAGCUGAGGUCUCUGUUAGAGAAGCAACUUUUGGAAUCACAUAACAACAGUGAACAUUCGACCCAAGUUUGGAAGUCACCACAACAAGCCGCUACGUGA